UCUCGAGUCCAGAGCGCGCGCACCAGCGCCGCCAGCUGCUCGGUGACCUCGGCGCGGCCGGGCUCCGCCCGGUAGCGCCCCAGCGCCAGGAACUCGGCCAGCAGCUCAACAAGAGAUCAGCAGGAUGCGUCAUUACGUCAGUGCCCUGAAAUGUUACUUAUUGUUUGAUGAAUAUGUGGUCAUCAUUUAUUAAAUAUCCACCUUGACAUAUCAAAUAGGGCAGCAGCAGGUUACCUGAUGAAAGAAAAAAAAAAAAAAGAAGAAGAAGCAGCAGCAGCAGCAGCAUUAAAGAACAAAGAAUAUGCCCAGAACAAAAGACUGUUCUGUGAAUUAAAACUUGACGUGUUUCUGAAAAAAUACCUUUGUCUACCUUCCCUGGAAAAGGAUACUGGGUUGGACCGUCAAUAAACAAGUUCCAUCACCUUUCUAAUGGACUGACCUGUAACAAAGUGCACCCCUUCCACUGUGAUGUCCAUGCCGUUGACAGCCCCGGACAAGGAACCGUCCAACUCUCUGAUGACUGAGCCGUCGAACACUUCCCAGUAAGCAAUCUGGAAUUGGAGAACGAAGC